ACCUGGGUGGCUCAGUCAGUUAAGUGUCUGACUUCAGCUCAGGUCAUGAUUUCACGGUGCGUGGGUUUGAGCCCCACAUCAGGCU
rnacentral:tRNA from 1 species